rnacentral:rRNA from 2 species
GGAUGUGAUCAUACCAGCACUAAAGCACCGGAUCCCAUCAGAACUCCGAAGUUAAGCGUGCUUGGGCGAGAGUAGUACUAGGAUGGGUGACCUCUUGGGAAGUCCUCGUGUUGCAUUCC